CUUUGCUUUUAUAAAUAAGGUUUACAAUUUUAUAGCUAAAACUAUCAUCUCAUCACUAAAAAUAUGAAUGUUACCAACAAAACAAAAAUGUCACUGUAAAUCGUCAUGAUUAGUGACAAUUACUAUUGUCAAAAAAUACAAAGAUAAUUUGUAGUCAAAGAAUAUAGCAUAUUAUUGAUAAGGCAAUUCUGGGACAAACACUAUUUUUUGUCACAUUAUGACAAACUAAUACGUCCUACAAUAAGAAUAUAAUUGUCUUGAAAAGUACAAUAUAAUCUAAUCAGGGUUGCAUCUUUCUUCUCUUUUGUGAGGUCCUUCCACUUGUUCGAGAAGUUAUUCCCAGCUCGUUUGAUAGCUUUGUUGAUGGAAUUGCCUUGAUUGACCUCCAUUUACCAACUCGAAUCUCUAAUACUUUUCUCCCAAAGACUUAUUUAUUUCUCAAGGCUUUUCUUCUAGCUUUUCUACAAUCUUCUUUGAUUCCAAUUGAAUCUGCAUUUAUUUAUGAAAAAAUCAAUUCAAAAGACUAUUUACAAUGCAAUAGUAAUAUAUAUAUAUAUAUAUAUAUAUGGAGCAUAUAUAUUAGUAGUAAUUUCUAAAUUACAACUGAAUUUUAUCAUUACAAACUUUAACAUAAGAGAAAGUUUACCAAGUCCUAGUAUAUCAUCACAAAGUUUAUAUCCACAAACUACUCUACAUGGCAGCAUAAACUAUAUCCAUAUAUUCGGUAUUACUAUCAAAAUGUAAGGUAACCUAUGUAGACUUUCUCACAUUAGACUCAAACCUGUUGUGAACUAAAAAAGCAAUUACAUGCAGUUAUUGUUUAUACCUUCAUUCAUUCAUUUUAUUGACAAGAAAAAAGAAGAUAGAAGUUUCAAAAAAUAAAAUCCAAGCAAUCGUUUAAACAAUGAGAUAGCAGCUAUAUAAACAACACUAAAGUGCUUUACCGAGUGGGAUAUAGAUUUUUUAACAGAUAAUUCAAUUGGACUCCUUUGACUUUAAUUUUAAUAUAUUGAAAUUAUCUACAGAAAAUUAACAAAGGAGCCAGAAGGUCUACAUGUCUACAAUAAGAACUUCAUUCAAUUCUCUGUGUCCCAAAACAGAAGGUUGUCAAGUUCAAUAGAAGUUGCCUAAAUUCAAAGAAUUAGGCAGGAAAAAAAACUCUACACCAGAUGAAUACAUCACCCAAUGACAUUAACUUAAAAAAUGCAUAUCACCAUACACAAGAGACCAUUGAAAGCAAACUAUGGUUUUCUAUUACCAAGAAAUGCACAGCCUUAGCUUUUCUAUAUUAGCAAAGAUGUUGCACAUGUGUUUUUAUACUUAUAAUGCUACACAACACAAGAUGCAAGCAUUCUUGUAAUAUUAUCUCUACCAAAAGCAAGGAAAUUAGGAGAGCACAUUGCUUAAACUAAAUUACUAAGAUUGUCCACUAAAGAGCUUUCAAAAAAGAGUUAAUACAUUUGAAACGAAGAAAUAAAGAAGCUUCAAACAAAUGAAUUUAAUGUAAUGCCAAUAUUAGGUACUGCCAAUAUUUCCUUUCCUACAACAAUUUGGUCAACUUCUAUAUGAAUAUGAACAUGAAUUCAUCUCCAAGUUCAUAUUUAGUGCUUAUCUCUAACAGAGUUCCUGAGGGUGUGCACUAAAUCCUUACUCUUCCCAGAAAAUGUAUCAUCGAAGAUGAAACUAGAGGGUAUAAAAUACAGCUAAACACAAUCAAAGAGCACAGAUCACCGUGGAAACAGAGCUUCAACCUCCAAACAUUACUCUAAUAUACAAAAACUCGUAUUGCCUAUGCAAAUAGAGGGAUGAUAUCCAUAGUGAAAUACUUGUCUAGUAACAAUUUCUAAAGGAAAAGGACAUACACAAGAAUUAGGACGAAGCUUGCUAUUCUCCAAAAUGUAACCUACUAUGAGAACAACUGAAACUUAAAUAAAACUAGCUUAGAGUUUCAAGCCCUAAUUUUACUUUGAUGGAAUUGUAACCCUGUAACCGGGCACUGAAAGAAUUUUGUCGAACGAGAUAACUAGUCAAGAGAAUAAUAUAAUAGAAAUAUUGAUGAAAGUAGAAAGAAAUAGUGUGCUUGUGAAAAACUCACUUGAAGGAAAAGAGAAGCCUGACUAUCGUGAAAAUGGCGUCAAACGGAUCUACGUCGCAAAGCUCUGCCGUUUCUGCAGAACCCUCCAAAGCAUGCCACAACCUAUAAUUAUACUUGGAAAAAGUUAAUCCUUUUUGAAUUGAAACAUGAAUUGAGAAUACUGAUUUUUAUAAUUAAAUCUUUGAUUUCUUCAGGAAAAUUCUCAGAUCUAGCAUUCUGAGUCAUUAAGUUUUUCUCUCUAGGGAUGAUGCAUUCGAAUUGCGAAAAAUAUGUUUACAUGAGAAAUCAAAGCCCUAAACGUGAAAUAACUGUAACUAGAGAGAGGAAGAAGCUUAACAUUUCAAACCCUAACUUGGAUUGAGGGAAGGCCGAGUAACCUACUUAGCAGCUCUGAAGUUUGGUGAAUUGGAAGUUUGGAACAAAAGAGGGACGGGUUAGGCAAAAAAAAGAGGGAAAUUUUGCCGCCUAACAUUUUUGCGAAAGAAUUGAACCAACAAUGUAAAUAUUUUUGGUAACAAUGGAAAUAUAUUGUUGCUAAUUUAUUUUGUAUUUAAAUUUUAUUAUAAUACCCACAAAAUAUGGCAACAAGAUCAAAAUAUUUGGUAAC
rnacentral:lncRNA from 1 species